AGAUUGAACGCUGGCGGCAUGCCUUACACAUGCAAGUCGAACGGCAGCACGGGAGCAAUCCUGGUGGCGAGUGGCGAACGGGUGAGUAAUACAUCGGAACGUGCCCAAUCGUGGGGGAUAACGCAGCGAAAGCUGUGCUAAUACCGCAUAAGAUCUACGGAUGAAAGCAGGGGAUCGCAAGACCUUGCGCGAAUGGAGCGGCCGAUGGCAGAUUAGGUAGUUGGUGAGGUAAAGGCUCACCAAGCCUUCGAUCUGUAGCUGGUCUGAGAGGACGACCAGCCACACUGGGACUGAGACACGGCCCAGACUCCUACGGGAGCAGCAGUGGGGAAUUUGGACAGU
rnacentral:rRNA from 1 species